GGGUUGUGAGGUUAAGCGACUAAGCGUACACGGUGGAUGCCCUGGCAGUCAGAGGCGAUGAAGGACGUGCUAAUCUGCGAUAAGCGUCGGUAAGGUGAUAUGAACCGUUAUAACCGGCGAUUUCCGAAUGGGGAAACCCAGUGUGAUUCGUCACACUAUCAUUAACUGAAUCCAUAGGUUAAUGAGGCGAACCGGGGGAACUGAAACAUCUAAGUACCCCGAGGAAAAGAAAUCAACCGAGAUUCCCCCAGUAGCGGCGAGCGAACGGGGAGCAGCCCAGAGCCUGAAUCAGUGUGUGUGUUAGUGGAAGCGUCUGGAAAGGCGUGCGAUACAGGGUGACAGCCCCGUACACAAAAAUGCACAUACUGUGAGCUCGAUGAGUAGGGCGGGACACGUGGUAUCCUGUCUGAAUAUGGGGGGACCAUCCUCCAAGGCUAAAUACUCCUGACUGACCGAUAGUGAACCAGUACCGUGAGGGAAAGGCGAAAAGAACCCCGGCGAGGGGAGUGAAAAAGAACCUGAAACCGUGUACGUACAAGCAGUGGGAGCACGCUUAGGCGUGUGACUGCGUACCUUUUGUAUAAUGGGUCAGCGACUUAUAUUCUGUAGCAAGGUUAACCGAAUAGGGGAGCCGAAGGGAAACCGAGUCUUAACUGGGCGUUAAGUUGCAGGGUAUAGACCCGAAACCCGGUGAUCUAGCCAUGGGCAGGUUGAAGGUUGGGUAACACUAACUGGAGGACCGAACCGACUAAUGUUGAAAAAUUAGCGGAUGACUUGUGGCUGGGGGUGAAAGGCCAAUCAAACCGGGAGAUAGCUGGUUCUCCCCGAAAGCUAUUUAGGUAGCGCCUCGUGAAUUCAUCUCCGGGGGUAGAGCACUGUUUCGGCAAGGGGGUCAUCCCGACUUACCAACCCGAUGCAAACUGCGAAUACCGGAGAAUGUUAUCACGGGAGACACACGGCGGGUGCUAACGUCCGUCGUGAAGAGGGAAACAACCCAGACCGCCAGCUAAGGUCCCAAAGUCAUGGUUAAGUGGGAAACGAUGUGGGAAGGCCCAGACAGCCAGGAUGUUGGCUUAGAAGCAGCCAUCAUUUAAAGAAAGCGUAAUAGCUCACUGGUCGAGUCGGCCUGCGCGGAAGAUGUAACGGGGCUAAACCAUGCACCGAAGCUGCGGCAGCGACACUAUGUGUUGUUGGGUAGGGGAGCGUUCUGUAAGCCUGUGAAGGUGUACUGUGAGGUAUGCUGGAGGUAUCAGAAGUGCGAAUGCUGACAUAAGUAACGAUAAAGCGGGUGAAAAGCCCGCUCGCCGGAAGACCAAGGGUUCCUGUCCAACGUUAAUCGGGGCAGGGUGAGUCGACCCCUAAGGCGAGGCCGAAAGGCGUAGUCGAUGGGAAACAGGUUAAUAUUCCUGUACUUGGUGUUACUGCGAAGGGGGGACGGAGAAGGCUAUGUUGGCCGGGCGACGGUUGUCCCGGUUUAAGCGUGUAGGCUGGUUUUCCAGGCAAAUCCGGAAAAUCAAGGCUGAGGCGUGAUGACGAGGCACUACGGUGCUGAAGCAACAAAUGCCCUGCUUCCAGGAAAAGCCUCUAAGCAUCAGGUAACAUCAAAUCGUACCCCAAACCGACACAGGUGGUCAGGUAGAGAAUACCAAGGCGCUUGAGAGAACUCGGGUGAAGGAACUAGGCAAAAUGGUGCCGUAACUUCGGGAGAAGGCACGCUGAUAUGUAGGUGAAGUCCCUCGCGGAUGGAGCUGAAAUCAGUCGAAGAUACCAGCUGGCUGCAACUGUUUAUUAAAAACACAGCACUGUGCAAACACGAAAGUGGACGUAUACGGUGUGACGCCUGCCCGGUGCCGGAAGGUUAAUUGAUGGGGUCAGCGCAAGCGAAGCUCUUGAUCGAAGCCCCGGUAAACGGCGGCCGUAACUAUAACGGUCCUAAGGUAGCGAAAUUCCUUGUCGGGUAAGUUCCGACCUGCACGAAUGGCGUAAUGAUGGCCAGGCUGUCUCCACCCGAGACUCAGUGAAAUUGAACUCGCUGUGAAGAUGCAGUGUACCCGCGGCAAGACGGAAAGACCCCGUGAACCUUUACUAUAGCUUGACACUGAACAUUGAGCCUUGAUGUGUAGGAUAGGUGGGAGGCUUUGAAGUGUGGACGCCAGUCUGCAUGGAGCCGACCUUGAAAUACCACCCUUUAAUGUUUGAUGUUCUAACGUUGACCCGUAAUCCGGGUUGCGGACAGUGUCUGGUGGGUAGUUUGACUGGGGCGGUCUCCUCCUAAAGAGUAACGGAGGAGCACGAAGGUUGGCUAAUCCUGGUCGGACAUCAGGAGGUUAGUGCAAUGGCAUAAGCCAGCUUGACUGCGAGCGUGACGGCGCGAGCAGGUGCGAAAGCAGGUCAUAGUGAUCCGGUGGUUCUGAAUGGAAGGGCCAUCGCUCAACGGAUAAAAGGUACUCCGGGGAUAACAGGCUGAUACCGCCCAAGAGUUCAUAUCGACGGCGGUGUUUGGCACCUCGAUGUCGGCUCAUCACAUCCUGGGGCUGAAGUAGGUCCCAAGGGUAUGGCUGUUCGCCAUUUAAAGUGGUACGCGAGCUGGGUUUAGAACGUCGUGAGACAGUUCGGUCCCUAUCUGCCGUGGGCGCUGGAGAACUGAGGGGGGCUGCUCCUAGUACGAGAGGACCGGAGUGGACGCAUCACUGGUGUUCGGGUUGUCAUGCCAAUGGCACUGCCCGGUAGCUAAAUGCGGAAGAGAUAAGUGCUGAAAGCAUCUAAGCACGAAACUUGCCCCGAGAUGAGUUCUCCCUGACUCCUUGAGAGUCCUGAAGGAACGUUGAAGACGACGACGUUGAUAGGCCGGGUGUGUAAGCGCAGCGAUGCGUUGAGCUAACCGGUACUAAUGAACCGUGAGGCUUAACCUUACAACGCCGAAG
rnacentral:rRNA from 1 species